UCUGAAGAAGUCCUACAUCUCAGUAGCUGG
rnacentral:piRNA from 1 species